rnacentral:rRNA from 1 species
UAAGCACCGGCUAACUCCGUGCCAGCAGCCGCGGUAAUACGGAAGGUGCAAGCGUUAUCCGGAAUCACUGGGUUUAAAGGGUGCGUAGGCGGCGGCGUAAGUCAGAAGUGAAAGCUCACAGCUCAACUGUGGAAUUGCCUUUGAUACUGUGUUACUAGAAUCAGGUUGGGGUUGGCGGAAUGUGACAUGUAGCGGUGAAAUGCAUAGAUAUGCCAUAGAACACCGAUUGCGAAGGCAGCUGACUGGACCUGUAUUGACGCUGAGGCACGAAAGCGUGGGGAGCGAACAGGAUUAGAUACCCUGGUAGUCCACGCCCUAAACGAUGCUUACUCGAUGUGUGAAACGUAGACUUGCGCAUCCAAGGGAAACCGUUAAGUAAGCCACCUGGGGAGUACGUUCGCAAGAAUGAAACUCAAAUGAAUUGACGGGG